GUGCCAGCCGCCGCGGUAAUACGGAGGGUGCAAGCGUUAAUCGGAAUUACUGGGCGUAAAGCGCGCGUAGGCGGCUUGUCACGCCGGGUGUGAAAGCCCCGGGCUCAACCUGGGAACGGCAUCCGGAACGGGCAGGCUAGAGUGCAGGAGAGGAAGGUAGAAUUCCCGGUGUAGCGGUGAAAUGCGUAGAGAUCGGGAGGAAUACCAGUGGCGAAGGCGGCCUUCUGGACUGACACUGACGCUGAGGUGCGAAAGCGUGGGUAGCAAACAGGAUUAGAAACCCGAGUAGUCCCGAAA
rnacentral:rRNA from 1 species